CGUAACACGUGAGCAACCUGCCUAGGUGUGGGGGAUAGCCGGCCCAACGGCCGGGUAAUACCGCAUACGCUCAACACGAGGCAUUUCGAGUUGAGGAAACCUUCGGGGCACUAUGAGGGGCUCGCGGCCUAUCAGCUAGUUGGUGAGGUAAUGGCUCACCAAGGCUACGACGGGUAGCUGGUCUGAGAGGAUGGCCAGCCACAUUGGGACUGAGACACGGCCCAG
rnacentral:rRNA from 1 species